CAUAUUUGAGCAGAGAAAAAUGCCAAUAGCAAUAGAAUUGACAAAAUUAUACUAUUAAAAAAACAGUUUAAAGGUUUCGAAACAUCUAAGAGAAGCGAUUUUUGCGAACUCAUUCAUUCAUUUUUUUAUACCGUUUUUCCCUUUCGGGGUCACGGGGCUGCCGGAGCCUAUCCCGGCCACUUGUGGGCGAAGGCAGGGGACACCCUGGACAGGUCGCCAGUCUGUCGCAGGGUAAUUUUUGCGAACUCCUGAACGGGAUUUCAAAAAAGGUUCUGACCCAGCUGUGCUGUGGUGAAGUUCUUUGUAAAAAAAAAAAAAAUAAUAAAAGGAAGAAGGAAAAAACGCCACAAACUGCAAGUGAAACCUCAGGUCUGCAGGAACCACCAUAAGCGAGCUGUGGCGGGUCUUACCGGCUGAUCACGAAGCUGUCGUCUGCAGGGAUGAGGGAGGAGGAGAUGAUCUGUCCGUCA